rnacentral:rRNA from 1 species
CCUACGGGAGGCAGCAGUGGGGAAUAUUGCGCAAUGGGCGAAAGCCUGACGCAGCGACGCCGCGUGAGGGAUGAAGGUCUUCGGAUCGUAAACCUCUGUCAGCAGGGAAGAACGGUCACUGUGCUAAUCAGCAGUGAAUUGACGGUACCUGCAAAGGAAGCACCGGCUAACUCCGUGCCAGCAGCCGCGGUAAUACGGAGGGUGCGAGCGUUAAUCGGAAUUACUGGGCGUAAAGCGCUCGUAGGCGGGAUGUCAAGUCAAGGGUGAAAUCCCCGGGCUCAACGUUGGAACUGCCUUGGAAACUGGCAAACUGGAGUGUGUGAGGGGAUAGUGGAAUUCCAGGUGUAGGAGUGAAAUCCGUAGAUAUCUGGAGGAACAUCAGUGGCGAAGGCGACUAGCUGGAACAUAACUGACGCUGAGGAGCGAAAGCGUGGGUAGCAAACAGGAUUAGAUACCCGUGUAGUC